AACGAACGCUGGCGGCAGGCUUAACACAUGCAAGUCGAGCGCCCCGCAAGGGGAGCGGCAGACGGGUGAGUAACGCGUGGGAACCUACCCAUCUCUACGGAAUAACGCAUGGAAACGUGUGCUAAUACCGUAUACGUCCUUCGGGAGAAAGAUUUAUCGGAGAUGGAUGAGCCCGCGUUGGAUUAGCUAGUUGGUGGGGUAAAGGCCUACCAAGGCGACGAUCCAUAGCUGGUCUGAGAGGAUGAUCAGCCACACUGGGACUGAGACACGGCCCAGACUCCUACGGGAGGCAGCAGUGGGGAAUAUUGGACAAUGGGCGCGAGCCUGAGCCAGCCAUGCCGCGUGAGUGAUGAAGGCCCUAGGGUUGUAAAGCUCUUUCACCAGUGAAGAUAAUGACGGUAACCGGAGAAGAAGCCCCGGCUAACUUCGUGCCAGCCGCCGCGGUAAUAC
rnacentral:rRNA from 1 species